GUUGAUGGAGUGGUUAUUUUGCCUCGUCCUCUUCAUGGGCUCCUGGACAGCUGCCAUCACAGGACAGCUCAAUUCCCCCUAGUGUAGUACUCUACAGGACGUUUACGUUCAAUAAUUGCGAGGAAGCUGCUAAACAGCUCAAGAGGCAAAUUGAAGAGGCCCAGGCA